UCUGAAUGGAACCAGUUUGAAGGACGUGUGUUCAUUUCACAUUCUACUGAUAUCAGAAGAAAUCCUUACAAAGGACAGACCAACAAAAUCAUUGCUGUAAAUACUGUUCACCAACCUCAAACCAACAAAUUUUUCACUCAAAUGGUGACACUAUCACUUGCCGAUGGAGGGCAACGAUUAUUUACCUAUACUCUGCACUCAGGGUGAUCGAGCAGUGAGGCAUCUUUUUCGUGCCAGAACUUACCGAAAUACAGGACCUUUGCUUAUGCUUUCUCACCUGAAGGACCGAUAUCUACGUCCCAUAGUGGGAUUCGAACCUACGUCGUAAGGAUCAACUACCUAAACAUACA